UACGAAGGGGGCUAGCGUUGUUCGGAAUUACUGGGCGUAAAGUGCACGUAGGCGGACAUUUAAGUCAGGGGUGAAAUCCCAGAGCUCAACUCUGGAACUGCCUUUGAUACUGGGUGUCUUGAGUAUGGAAGAGGUGAGUGGAAUUCCGAGUGUAGAGGUGAAAUUCGUAGAUAUCUGGAGGAACACCGGUGGCGAAGGCGGCAUCCUGGACCGGUAUUGACGCUGAGGAGCGAAAGCCAGGGGAGCAAACGGG
rnacentral:rRNA from 1 species